CACGUAGGGCGCAAGCGUUGUCCGGAAUUAUUGGGCGUAAAGAGCUCGUAGGCGGUCUGUUGCGUCCGCUGUGAAAACUCGGGGCUUAACCCCGAGCCUGCAGUGGAUACGGGCAGACUAGAGGUAGGUAGGGGAGAAUGGAAUUCCCGGUGUAGCGGUGAAAUGCGUAGAUAUCGUUUGGAACGCCAAUGGUGAAAACAGGUCGCUGGGAGUGUGCUGACGCUGAGACACGAAAGCCAGGGGAGCGAACGGG
rnacentral:rRNA from 1 species